rnacentral:rRNA from 1 species
UACGUAGGGGGCAAGCGUUGUCCGGAUUUAUUGGGCGUAAAGAGCGUGUAGGCGGCCAGAUAGGUCAGCUGUGAAAACUCGAGGCUCAACCUCGAGAUGUCGGCUGAAACCAUCUGGCUAGAGUCCGGAAGAGGAGAAUGGAAUUCCCGGUGUAGCGGUGAAAUGCGCAGAUAUCAGGAGGAACACCAAUGGCGAAGGCAGCUCGCUGGGACGUGACUGACGCUGAGACGCGAAAGCGUGGGGAGCAAACAGG